AACGAACGCUGGCGGCAGGCUUAACACAUGCAAGUCGAGCGCCCCGCAAGGGGAGCGGCAGACGGGUGAGUAACGCGUGGGAACAUACCCUUUGGUUCGGAAUAACUCAGGGAAACUUGAGCUAAUACCGGAUACGUCCGUAAGGAGAAGGAUUUAUCGCCAAAGGAUUGGCCCGCGUCCGAUUAGCUAGUUGGUGAGGUAACGGCUCACCAAGGCUACGAUCGGUAGCUGGUCUGAGAGGAUGAUCAGCCACAUUGGGACUGAGACACGGCCCAAACUCCUACGGGAGGCAGCAGUGGGGAAUAUUGGACAAUGGGCGCAAGCCUGAUCCAGCCAUGCCGCGUGAGUGAUGAAGGCCUUAGGUGUAAGUACUUCACCGGUGAAGAUAAUGACUGUAGCCGGAGAAGAAGCCCGGCUAACUUCGUGCCAGCAGCCGCGGUAAAGUGACUACU
rnacentral:rRNA from 1 species